rnacentral:rRNA from 1 species
UCAGGAUGAACGCUAGCUACAGGCUUAACACAUGCAAGUCGAGGGGCAGCAUUGGAGUAGCAAUACUUCAGAUGGCGACCGGCGCACGGGUGAGUAACACGUAUCCAACCUGCCGCUUACUCGGGGAUAGCCUUUCGAAAGAAAGAUUAAUACCCGAUGGUAUAAAGAGUUCGCAUGUUCUCUUUAUUAAAGAAUUUCGGUAAGCGAUGGGGAUGCGUUCCAUUAGAUAGUUGGCGGGGUAACGGCCCACCAAGUCUACGAUGGAUAGGGGUUCUGAGAGGAAGGUCCCCCACAUUGGAACUGAGACACGGUCCAAACUCCUACGGGAGGCAGCAGUGAGGAAUAUUGGUCAAUGGACGAGAGUCUGAACCAGCCAAGUAAGCGUGAGGGAUGACUGCCCUAUGGGUUGUAAACUUCUUUUAUAAGGGAAUAAAGUGAGGGACGUGUCCCUUUUUGUAUGUACCUUAUGAAUAAGGAUCGGCUAACUACGUGCCAGCAGCGGC